UAGGAGAGUAAUAUUCAUCCAUCUCAUUCGCAUAUAUUUUCAUUUGAAAGAAUUAUUACUGUCUAAUUAUUAUUUAAUUGGUACUUUUUGUUGUGAAGUAAUAUGUGCAUUAUUGUUAUUCCGUAUUCGAUAUAUGUUGUGUAAGAUUUUGUUAUAUGAUAUAUGGUGUAAUCGUUAUAAUUUUAUUUUAUUUUCUAUCAUAUCUUGGAUGUAGAAUUUAUUUCUAUAGUUAAGAUAUAGUUUACACUCUUAACUCAUAAAUAGUUUUUAUUCGCGGGUCAGGAAGUGACAUGAUAAGAUAGCAACACUAAGGAUGUUAAGAAAUUGGUAGUAGAAUAAGUGAUUCAACUCCUUAUAUGUCUUUUAAGGUUGCUUAACUUUUUGAUUGGGAUAAUUCUUGAGAAUGUGAAGAAUUAUUGCACAUCAGGCUUUAGAUAAUUAGGGGCGGGUCACUUUAUUUUUUUCACAAAACUUUUGACAUACGUUUUUUCACAGCCUACUUUAUAAUGUAUUUAACGAUCUAAAUCGUAUAUCUUUUUGAACCGUCUAUGAUAUGAUUUUUUAGGGGUUCUUUUGCUCGUCAGCGGUUUCUUUUGCAUUUUACAAAAAAUUGUCUAUAACUUUAAAAAAAUAUUAUGUUUAUUCAAAUUCUUAUUCCGUCAGCCAAUACUAUCACCUAAAAAAAACUUAAAUCUUGUUUGUUUCUGAAUGAGGCUCAAUGCUUGCAUGUUUGUAAUACAUACUUUUUAAAUGACAUGUUCUUCGUUCGUAUUUUCCUUUGUUUUAAGUCAAGUUAAGAAAAAACUUUUGAAACUAUGAACUUAUUUUUUACUGAAAAUAUGACUUUAGUCCUUGGAAUUCAAUUUUCUUCACAUAAAACCCAACGUAAAUUUUUUGCUCAAAUAAAACUCAUUAACUAGACUCCAUAUAAGCAAAUUCAUUAAUUAUGUUUGACUUUACCCAUUUAAAAUUUUUUGGAUGCCUAAAACACCCUUAUUGAAUGUUUAAUGUACACAAUUAAUUCUAUGCAAAUUGUAAAGGAGAAUUAAUGAUUUUACAAAAAUAAUAUUUUGCAUAUAAAUGUAGGGAUUUGUUGGUUAGUUUGGCUCUCGAAUUCCAAUUUACCAUUACAACAUGUCCAUAUUAUAUAUAGGUAAUUAUUGUACUUUAAAAUAUAUAAAAAAAUUGUUGUCAAAGUAAAAAUAUAUAAAUUAAAGGAGAUAAAAAUUGCAGGUAAAUUAAUUUUAGGACAAAGAAAAAGAAAAGAACCAACUAUAGGUAAAUUAUUUACAUAUACAGUCUAGAUAUUUGAUUCACAUAAAAAAUGUACGUAAAUCACGUGUGCAUAAUUUACCUACCAUUAUUGAAAUUUACCUACUUGCAUAAUUUACCCACUAUUAUAUUAAUUUACCUACUUGUAUAAUUUAGGAAAAAUGCCAACAAAACAUGAGAAUAUUAUUUGCAUAUAUCAUAGGUAAAUUGCUUAAAGAAAUAUGAGAAUAUUUUGUUUAUAUAUUGUAGGUAAAUUACAAUAUAUAGGGCGAUAUUAUUUAUAUUAAAGUAGAGAUGUUUAACUAUUAUAUAUAAGGAGAAUAAUUACACCGAAUAAUAAUGUAGUCCUUAUUUAAAGUAAUGCACUGGAUUGUUGUAGAAAUUAAAAAUAAAUAAAUAGAAAAAACGUCAGGAUGAUUAAUUAGAUUUUAAGGCCCUUGAUUGAAGCUAAUUCUCAAGUGUGGGUUGUGGCAAAAAUUGUAAAUAAUUUGUAUUAGUA
rnacentral:lncRNA from 1 species